CAGUAGCCGCGGUAAUACGUAGGUGGCAAGCGUUGUCCGGAAUUAUUGGGCGUAAAGGGCUCGCAGGCGGUUUCUUAAGUCUGAUGUGAAAGCCCCCGGCUCAACCGGGGAGGGUCAUUGGAAACUGGGAAACUUGAGUGCAGAAGAGGAGAGUGGAAUUCCACGUGUAGCGGUGAAAUGCGUAGAGAAGUGGAGGAACACCAGUGGCGAAGGCGACUCUCUGGUCUGUAACUGACGCUGAGGAGCGAAAGCGUGGGGAGCGAACAGGAUUAGAUACCCCUGUAGUCCCUGUCUCUUAUAC
rnacentral:rRNA from 1 species